rnacentral:misc_RNA from 1 species
GAUGAAGAACGCAGCGAAAUGCGAUAAGUAAUGUGAAUUGCAGAAUUUAGUGAAUCAUCGAAUCUUUGAACGCAUAUUGCGCCCGCCAGCACUCUGGCGGGCAUGCCUGUUCGAGCGUCAUUUCAACCCUCAGGCCUCGCGUCUGGCGUUGGGGCGCUGCGGCCCUCCCGCAGGCCCCCAAAUUUAGCGGCGGAUUCCCCGCGGCCCUGAGCGCAGUAGAGAGUAAAAACUUUAACGCUCCGGCGGCCGUGGCGCGGUUCUGCCUCUUUCCCAAUAGCGCCAAUAGCGCCACCCCCAAAAAAGUUGACCUCGGAUCAGGUAGGACUACCCGCUGAACUUAAGCAUAUCAAUAAGCGGAGGA